CGGGCCGCCGGGCUGGGGUCGCCCCCCGGGCUCGGUCGGUCGGUACCUUCAUGAAGGUCUCUACCGCGCCUUUGGCCGUGUCCAGGGACAAUUUACAAAGAUGUGUGCAAGGAAAAGAAAGACCACAAAGGAAUAAAGACCACACUGGAAGCAGAAACCGUUAUCACCCCCUACACCCAAGGGCCAAGAGGAGGGAGAGGUUGCUGGAACUUCGAAGAGACCCAGUUGUUAAACAUUUACAAGAACACUGCUGGACACAGCCAGCCUGAGGCAACCUUUCAACGUGGGAGCUAAUAAAACUCACUCACUCUCAAGUUAGGAAGAGGACCAAACUCAACCAGGAAGCCAGAGAACACAGGGGCCUCUUGACUCAAUUAAUUGCUCUUGACUUCCUCUAGUCAAACCAUCCCCUGGGGGAGACAGCAAGUGAAGGAGGGUGGAGCAUGGAUCCAGCACAGCAAGGCUGCGUAUCAAGUAUGAUUCUCCAGCUCCUCCCGCGAACAACCACAUAGAUGGUGAUUCAAUUCACUGGGCACUGAAAAAAGACAAAGUAUCACUUGUCACAAUCUGUUUAAAUUAUAAUUUUGUACCCAUCCAUAUCUCUCCUGCUUCCCCACAUCAGUGGGGGUAACUUUGGCAAACAGCCGAAAACUGGAUUUUCUAGUAGAGUCAGAGAAUGAGUUCACUUUUUUGUUUAACUUUUUUAAAACAAUAGAGACUGACUCUAAUUGAGAGAUUUUAUUAGAAAGGUGUGAGAGAGCUCAGAGAAUUGAAAAAGGACUUGAAGAACGAGGCUCAUGAAGGCAGAAACAGGGCAACUCUGAAUCACCCAAAUGGUAGGAAGCAAUCAAAGAUCUCAGAGCACCUCUGAUGGAGAAAAUCCUUCUCCAAUUUUUUUUUCUUUCGUUAACAGUCCUUGAGUUAUUCUGUUCAAGAUGCACUGUUGGAGGGCUUCCCUGGUAGUCCAGUGGUUAAGAAUCUGCCUUGUAUUGCAAGGGACACCAGUUCCAUCCCUGGUC